UCGCUGCAUAGCAGAACGACCCGCGAAUUGGUUACAACCGACGGGGGGCGGGGGGCGUUCGUCGCCCCCUCGCCCCCUCCUGUGGGGGGGGGGGACCUUGCGUCUCCCACCCGCAAACCGAACCCCGGCGCGGAACGCGCCAAGGAAAUCUAACCAAGAGAGCCAUGCCGGAGGCCCCGGACACGGUGCGCCCCCGGCGUCGGCGUCUUAUGAAUUAUUC
rnacentral:misc_RNA from 1 species